CGGAGGGGAAGUACUGGAUUCAGUAUUGCAGAGAAAUUUGUAAUAUUGAAUAAUGUAAGGGAGGAUAAUGACGUUACCUUACGAUAAGUGUCGUCUAAACACUGGUGCCAGAAGACUCGGUAAUACCAGAGACGCAAACGUUAGUCAUCUUAAAUGGGCGUAAAGGGUUAGUAGGCAGCUUAUUCAAUGGAAACAUUGAUAUAAUAAGCUAGAAUCAAACAGAGGAAAUCGGAGAAUGCUUAGAGGAGUGUUGAUAUACUUAGAUCCUAAGUGGAAUACUAGUGGCGAAGGCUCCUUUCCAAUAAUGAUUGACGCUGAGGAACGAAGGUGUAGAUAGGAAAUAGGAUUAGAUACCCAGUUACCCUACACUGUAAACGAUGAAUGGUAAGAUAUCUGUAUAUUUAAAUAUAGGUUCUGAUGCUAAGAGCGAUAACCAUUCCGCCUUGUAAGUAUACUCGCAAGAGUGAAAAUAAAAAAAUUAGUCGGUCUGACAGCC
rnacentral:rRNA from 1 species